ACGGAGGGGGCGAGCGUUGUUCGGAAUCACUGGGCGUAAAGGGCGCGUAGGCGGUCAUGUAUGUCAGGUGUGAAAUCCCUAGGCUUAACCUAGGAAUUGCGCUUGAAACUGCAUGGCUAGAGGCUGGGAGAGGAAAGUGGAAUUCCUGGUGUAGCGGUGAAAUGCGUAGAUAUCAGGAGGAACACCGGUGGCGAAAGCGGCUUUCUGGACCAGUUCUGACGCUGAGGCGCGAAAGCGUGGGGAGCAAACGG
rnacentral:rRNA from 1 species